AAAAUAACAUUUACAUAUAUUUAUUUUUUAUUGCAAUGUUAAACACAAAUGCACACACCAGCCAAGUCUUGAGACUUGCUUUUACCACAUAAAUCACACUUUAACAGUGCUCUCAAUACUGCAAGGGAUUCUGGGUAGGCGUAUGCAAAUGAGUUCAACAAAGAACCACAGUUUUGCCUCAUAAUUCCCCUUUAUACAUGGAUUCCUUUGAGUACGUGUCUGCUGCAUACAACAACUUUGAAACAACUUAAGAAGAGGUGCAAUGCCAGUGAACCACUCAUGGGCAGCUGUUUCAUUGUUAUUUCAACUCAUCAGCAUGAAAUAGGUUACUGGCUUGCUAUGGACUUAUUUCAUAUAGAGAUUAGUGUGUGUGUGUG